rnacentral:rRNA from 1 species
UACGGAGGGGGCUAGCGUUGUUCGGAAUUACUGGGCGUAAAGCGCGCGUAGGCGGCUUUGUAAGUUAGAGGUGAAAGCCCGGAGCUCAACUCCGGAACUGCCUUUAAGACUGCAUCGCUAGAAUUGUGGAGAGGUGAGUGGAAUUCCGAGUGUAGAGGUGAAAUUCGUAGAUAUUCGGAAAGAACACCAGUGGCGAAGGCGAACUCACUGGACACAGUAUUGACGCUGAGGUGUAGAAAGCGAUGGGGAGCAAACAGGGAUUAAGAA